rnacentral:rRNA from 1 species
AUUGAACGCUGGCGGCAUGCCUAACACAUGCAAGUCGAGCGGAUGAACGGAGCUUUCUCCUGGAUUCAGCGGGGGGCGGGUGAGUAAUGCCUAGGAAUCUGCCUGGUAUUUGGGGAUAACGUCCGGAAGCGGGCGCUAAUACCACAUACGACCUGAUGGUGAAACGCGGGGAUCUUCGGACCUCACCCUAUCAGAUGAGCCUAGGUCGGAUUAGCUAGUUGGUGGGGUAAAGGCCUACCAAGGCGACGAUCCGUAACUGAUCUGAGAGGAUGAUCAGCCACACUGGAACUGAGACACGGUCCAGACUCCUACGGGAGGCAGCAGUGGGGAAUCUUGGACAAUGGGCGAAAGCCUGAUCCAGCCAUGCCGCGUGUGUGAAGAAGGUCUUCGGAUUGUAAAGCACUUUAAGUUGGGAGGAAGGGCAGUAAGUUAAUACGUUGCUGUUUUGACGUUACCAACAGAAUAAGCACCGGCUAACUUCGUG